GACGAACCGUGCGAACGUUAUUCGGAAUCACUGGGCUUAAAGCGCGUGUAGGCGGGAGGGCACGUCCGUCGCUGAAAUCCCCCGGCUCAACCGGGGAACGGGCGCGGAUACGACCUUCCUGGAGGGGCGUAGGGGGACCUGGAACUUCCGGUGGAGCGGUGAAAUGCGUUGAGAUCGGAAGGAACGCCCGUGGCGAAAGCGAGGUCCUGGACGCCUACUGACGCUGAGACGCGAAAGCCAGGGGAGCGGAA
rnacentral:rRNA from 1 species